UGUUCAACCUUGCUGGUUCAGAGUUCCACAGGUUGGUAUGGUUGCCAUCAACGAUGGGAUUCUACUUCGUAAUCACAUCCACAGGAUUCUCAAAGCAUUUCCGUGAAAAGCCUUACUAUCUUGACCUAGUUGAUUUGUUAG